ACCAGACUCCUACGGGAGGCAGCAGUGGGGAAUAUUGCACAAUGGGGGAAACCCUGAUGCAGCGACGCCGCGUGAGCGAUGAAGUAUUUCGGUAUGUAAAGCUCUCUCAGCAGGGAAGAAAAUGACGGUACCUGACUAAGAAGCCCCGGCUAACUACGUGCCAGCAGCCGCGGUAAUACGUAGGGGGCAAGCGUUAUCCGGAUUUACUGGGUGUAAAGGGAGCGUAGACGGCGGUGCAAGCCAGAUGUGAAAGCCCGGGGCUCAACCCCGGGACUGCAUUUGGAACUGUGCUGCUAGAGUGUCGGAGAGGCAGGCGGAAUUCCUAGUGUAGCGGUGAAAUGCAUAGAUAUCGCGCAGAACCCCGAUUGCGAAGGCAGCGUGCCGGGCCGCCACUGACGCUGAGGCACGAAAGCGCGGGGAUCGAACAGGAUUAGAUACCCCUGUA
rnacentral:rRNA from 1 species